UCCACAGAACAGGUACAGCACCAGGCAAUGGCUGUGCAAGCUACUCCACAUUGCUCUACUAAUGUGCAUCCACCCUGACACAUACAAAGGCAAGCUGUAGG
rnacentral:sRNA from 1 species